rnacentral:lncRNA from 1 species
AAAACAGCUAAAUAGAAUUACGAAUUUUUGAAGAAGCCUGUACAAUAAGAUUAAGAUAUACAUCUGUUCUUCGUUAUGCUUUGACGAGUAAACAUGACAUGACAUGUCAAAUUGUAAGUUUCAUAGAGUAAAUUUUUCCAGUCCGCCUUUCUUAAAUAAUAAAUUGUUUCUUUUCGAUUUUGAUCAGAUACAAAUUACUUAUUUUAACUUCGGAGAUUGCUUAAAACUUGCAUAUAUAUAGAUAUUUGAUACUGUGGUUUUGCCAAAUCUGUAUUCAAAACCUUUUUGAAAAAAUGCUAUUCGUUGAACAUUUGAAUGCGUAGUACACUUGUGCCCACGAAACCCACAAAAAAUUGGUAUCCAACGAAUAAUAAUGAAUCUACAGUAUGUACCUUUGUGUUGAUUAAAUGAUAAACAUAUGGAAUUUUUAUAGAAAAUCCACAGGCGUUUCCCUAGUACUCUCAUAAUUUGCAAUUCGGUGAUUUAUAGCUAGAGGAUUAUUGCAUGCAAUGAUUUCAUAAAAAAAAUACAUUUAUGAAUUUGGCUAUUAGUUAAAACAACUAUAAAUGUGGACCAAAACAAGUACACCUGCUCGGGUGACCUCGACUUUAGUGACUCAGCAUUUUUUUUUUUUUAAGUUUUAAGGUUGAUAGGUCUUUUGUAAACACUAAACGCUGGCACAUUAUUGAAAAGUAAGUGAGCAAUCUAUAUUUAUAACUUUAUAAUAACAAUCUCUGUAUUAAAGUCUGUAGAUUUUCUUCAAGAAUCAUGGUUUUAUUUGCCACAAAAUACCAUUUUCCCUAAUAAAUGCAAUGGAUAAGUACGUAAUAAUGCUUUGUACGAAGUUUACCCUUGGUAUAU